ACCUUCGUGGUGUAGUGGUCAGCACGCUGAACGCCUAUUCCAGAGGUCCGCGGUUCGAGUCCCGGCGAAGGCG
rfam:Stegodyphus mimosarum contig101265, whole genome shotgun sequence.